GUGGGGAAUCUUGCGCAAUGGGCGAAAGCCUGACGCAGCCAUGCCGCGUGAAUGAUGAAGGUCUUAGGAUUGUAAAAUUCUUUCACCGGGGACGAUAAUGACGGUACCCGGAGAAGAAGCUCCGGCUAACUUCGUGCCAGCAGCCGCGGUAAUACGAAGGGGGCUAGCGUUGCUCGGAAUUACUGGGCGUAAAGGGCGCGUAGGCGGACAGCUUAGUCAGAGGUGAAAGCCCAGGGCUCAACCUUGGAAUUGCCUUUGAUACUGGCUGUCUUGAGUUUGGGAGAGGUGAGUGGAACUCCGAGUGUAGAGGUGAAAUUCGUAGAUAUUCGGAAGAACACCAGUGGCGAAGGCGACUCACUGGCCCGUUACUGACGCUGAGGCGCGAAAGCGUGGGGAGCAAACAGGAUUAGAAACCCUGGUAGUCC
rnacentral:rRNA from 1 species